GAUGAGAAUCCUACCCUACCAGCUAAAGGUGGCGAAACGGGAACUGUGUAUUCACCUAGAGGGGCAUCACCAAUUAGUCCCGACACAUCAACUACUUUGGUGAAGAAAAGCCCAAAGAAGACCCUACAACUUCCCAGUCCACCAGAAUAUGUGGUCUACACAGACUCGUAAACACUACUUUGAGAUGGUCCAAGCUGGCAGAGAGGGAGAAUGUGUGAUGUCCAAAGAGCUGGGAUGCAAGCUAGUGAGGAACACUGUCACCAGUAUGAUUUCUAUCUUUAGAGCAAGCCAGCAGGGAGAGGAGGUCAGGUACCCUUCCAAACAUGAACUCACUGCAAUGGCUAGAAGACUUGUGGAGUAUUAUCCCAUGCUACAGGAUAAAGGCAACACUGUAAAACAUAUGAGCAUUUACAAUAAUCUUCACAAGAGGCUGCAGAAUAUCAAGUCCCCACAAAACAGACAGGGGCCAACACCAGAGAGGGGCCAGACAAAGAAAAGACGUUCCAUUUGACUUCUCAACAAUUGACCAGGAAGAAGAUGAUGCAGACUCGAGUGGUGGAUCAACCAUUAUUUUGCAUCAAACAACAGGGAGCAGUUCUGAUGAUAGCCACUGUUCACCGGACAAGGAUAGUCCCAUAGUUCAAGCCAGACAUUACAAGACUCUGCAGGACAUGUACAAGAAACCAAAACCCAACCGAGAUGCUGUCUCCCAAAUCCUUGAUCUUGAGUUUCAAUCACGAAGAGCCUUUAUUGACAGUGCCCUAAAAAAAGAGGACAGGCCAACAAAUAUCCUGGAUGCCUAUCCAUGUUUCAAAGAUCUUCAUCAUGUAAUGGGUGAGCUGCAGAGGAUCUUGGCCAAUGGUAACCACAAAUUUAUUGAGGAAGUUAAGAAGAGAUGGGAAGACUUCUACACCAAGGUGCAAUUUUACGCAGUUUGGAAGAAAGCUAUGAAGCCACCCAUGACUCUGGAUGCCACGGAAUCUGCCAUAGAGCUCUACAGGGCACUUCCCACACUCUUUCCAUCACCAGCUGCACCACCCAAAAAGCUGGGACAUGCCAGUGAGGCAUUGCUCCAUGUCCUUCAGCCAACAGAAGAUCCUGCCAUCUUCCUCCAGAAGAGAUCUCUCUCCAGCCCUGUUUUGCUCUUUGAUGGGUCCUGCUGUGUUGUUGCCAUUGGAACACCUUACAUCACAUUUCCAAAGGAAAAUCUCAGUGAAGGCCUGCUUUAUCUGAUGGCUUACUACUACACCAUGCAUCUCACCUAUCCAAAGUGUGUGGCCACCCUUCUGUCUGUCAUUCAGACAGAAAUAUUAUAAGACGCCAUCCAUGAGCGAGAUGCUACAGCCUCAUAUAAAAGAGCCAUGGCAGAAUGGAUGGAUUUUAUUGGGAAGUAGGUUGCUCAGGUUGGGGUAUUUUAUGUCCCACCAGCUUUUGAGGAAGUCCCUUCCAAAGUUUGUCAUGUAAUGUUUACGUUCUUUUGUGAUUCAUAGAAGAUGCUGGCUUUCUACAGCAGCCCUUUAAAGUGGAAGUCAUGGUUCUAAAUGAUAGACAUGUUGCUAGUGAUGGAAGGACCAAAAAGUAGUUGUAAGUGCUGUGUACAGUGUAAAUGUACCAUCUAUUUGCUACUAUUUUGUGAAGCACACAAGUAUGUUCUUAAGGCAAUUCGUUAAAAUAAAAAAUUGCUGGCAAUUAAUUAGUGCUUGUCUUUUAUCUAGCAUAGAUGCUUUGUCUCAUUUUAAGGUAGAAAAUCUUGAAUCAAGAAAAAUCAUCUUGUUUUUUAGAUCUCGUUUAAAGAUCGUUUCACCCAAAUUAAGACCAAAACAAAAAAGAAACAAGAAUUGGCAAGCUGGUUUUGAGUUUUUUUUAACUCAAAAAAGUUGUCAGAAUGGGUGGCAUGGUCCUUAUUUUAAGAGUUUUUACACUUAUCUAAAGCCUAGAUAAUUUUCCUUAUUUCAAGAAAUAUUGCCAAGUGAAAUUAUCUUACUGCACUGGCAGAUAAUUUCACUUGUUUUUAGUCUGUAUCUUCUUAAAUCAAGUCUUUAUUUCUUAAAUCUAGCUGGGGCGUUUUUGUGCCUCUGAAUGAUUUCCUGCGUCUCACUAUGAGACUUCCUGUAUCUCCAUGUGACUUCUUGUGUCUCCAUGUGACUUCUUGUGUCUCCAUGUGACUUCCUGUGGCUCUGAGUGACUUCCUGUGUCUCUAUGUGACUUCCUGUGGCUCUGAGUGACUUCCUGUGUCUCUAUGUGACUUCCUGUGGCUCUAAAUGAAAGCUGCAGCGUCUGAGUCUGUUUCCUGCAGCAGUGACACGAAUCUGCAGCUCAGCUUGUCAUUAUAGAAAACACAGCAGCUAAUACUGAAAAGCAGCAGCUGGGAGCCGAACAAACAGACUGAAAUCUACAUGUGAUUGAAGUUAUUGAUCGCAAUCUUUCACUGUUUGAAUUCAUCCAUAAAAACCAAUUAACUCAGUGUAGACCAACAUUUAAAAACAACUUUAUGUUCAAACAUCUAGUUGACGACUCUCAGUUUGUUGUUCCACCAUGCUAUUUAACUGUGUGUGUAUGUGAAUAAUAAAUGAUUCAUCAGCUUUUAUAAAAUGUAAAAUAGCUUGUUACAGCUUUUGUGUGUUUGUGCUGUUUGAUUAUCCUGAAACUGUGUGUGUGUGUGUGUGUGUCUCAGAGGCAUUGUUUAAUCUCCUUCCCACAAUCCCUUGCUCCUCUGAUCCAGAUGUGUGUGUGUGUUUGAUGAGGUAAUGAAUCAGAAUCAGAAUUAGGUUUAUUGCCAAGUAGGUUUUUACACCUACGAGGAAUGUGUCCUGGUGCAUUGAUGCAUCAAAUAUACAAAUCACACAAAAAUAACACAAAAAUCACACAGAAAAAUAAAUUACUUUCGAAAUAUAAAUAAAUAAAGAUACGAAAGAUAGGAAAAGAAAACUGUGCAGAAGAAGGGAGUGCAUUAAUGUAAUGCAUACUGUAUAUACAGGGUGGGUAUUAGAGUCAGUGUCAGUGGGGGUCCGGGCCUUGUUAAUUCAAUUCAAUUCAAUUCAAUUUUAUUUGUAUAGCGCCAAUUCAUAACAGAAGUUAUCUCAGGACACUUUUCAAAUAGAGCAGGUCUAGACCGAACUCUUUAACAUUAAUUACAGAGACCCAACAGUACCACCAUGAGCAAGCACUUGGCGACAAGGGCAAGGAAAAACUGCCUGUUAAAAGGCAGAAACCUAGGACAGAUCCUCCGGCUCUAGGUGGGUGGUCGUCUGUCUCGACNNNNNNNNNNNNNNNNNNNNAGAUAAACUUUGCCAUAUUUCUAGAUAAGAGAGCCGCUCCAUCCAAAGUGGGAUGGAUGCCGUCUCUCCUAAUCAGACCAGGUUUUCCCCAAAAAGGCUUCCAGUUAUCAAUGAAGCCCACAUCGUUUGCUGGACACCACCUCGACAGCCAGCGGUGGAAUGACGACAUGCGGCUAUACAUGUCAUCACUGGUCACAUUGGGGAGGGGUCCACAGAAAACUACGGUGUCCGACAUUGUCUUAGCAUAAUUACACACCGACUCCACAUUAAUCUUAGUGACCUCCGAUUGGCGUAAAUGGGUGUCGUUACCGCCGACGUGGAUAACAAUCUUACUGUAUUUACGUUUAUCUUUAGCCAGCAGUUUUAAAUUUGAUUCAAUGUCGCCCGCUCUGGCCCCAGGGAUGCAUUUGACUAUGGCCGCUGGCUUCGCUAACUUCACGUUUCUGACUAUGGAGCUGCCAAUAACCAGAGUUGGUUCCUCAGCGGGUGUAUCGCUGAGUGGGGAAAAUGUAUUAGAAACGUGAAGCGGUUGGUGGUGACCUGUGGGCUUCGCCGUUCUAGUCUUCCUUCGCUCAGUCACCCAGCCUCCCUGUCUUCCCGGCUGCUCGGGAACUACCGGGGGAUCUACAGAGCUAACAGAAGCUACCUUCGGUCGGACCGCACCGGCUACCGGGGGCUGGCUAACUAUAGCGGCUAAAGAUAUCUCAGGUGGUGCGGUGCCGUUCUCUAACUCACUAAGCCUCGCCUCCAGCGCAGUAAAUAAACUACAUUUAAUACAGGUACCAUUAUCUUUAAAGGAGGCAGAGGAAUAACUGAACAUCUGACACACUGAGCAGGACAGAGGAGAGGGAGAAGCCAUAGCUAACUGCUAAUGCUAAUGAAACUAGAGUGUAUGAAAAACUUUGAAAGUAGUGAAAAGUCCCUAAAAGAGGGAGAAACUCCAAGUGUUUAAGUAGAACUAGUCUACGUUUAAAUGUUAAGCGGGUAAAUAACCGCUGUAACGAGUAAAACUAAUUUAUAAUUAGCGUUCACUGACAGAGCUACAGCACCAAACAGUGUACACAGAGCAGGAAGUAAACCGGAAGUGAGUCAGUACGCUUACCAUAACAUGACAACAGCGGUGGUAAAUUCUGAGAGACCAGCUGCAGAUUGAAAGAAACUGUUUUUGUGGCGUGAGGUUUUGGUAAUGAUGGACUGCAGCCUCCUGCCAGAGGGGAGUGAUUCAAAGAGUUUGUGACCGGGGUGGGAGGGGUCAGCCACAAUCUUGCCUGCACACCCCAGGGUCCUAGAGGCGUACAGGUCCUGAAGGUAUGUCAGAUUGCAGGCGAUCACCUUCUCAGCAGAUCGAAUGAUACGCUGCAGUCUGCCCUUGUCCUUGGCAGUGACAGCAGCAUACCAGAUGGUGAUGGAAGAGGUGAGGAUGGACUCAGUGAUGGCGGUGUAGAAAUGCACCGUCAUUGUCUUUGGCAGGUCGAACUUCCUCAGCUGCCGCAGGAAGUACAUCCUCUGCUGGGCUUUCUUGGUGAGGGAGCUGAUGUUGGUAAUGAUCGUACCCAGGAAGCGGAAGGACUCCACAGAGUCAACUGGGGAGUCACACAGGAUGAUGGGGG
rnacentral:lncRNA from 15 species